GGAAAGGUAGCACAAUUGGCGGUGCGUUGGUUUCCAAAACCAAAGGCUGGAGGUUCGAGUCCUCUUCUUUCUG
rnacentral:tRNA from 1 species